UCCAGUCCCCUCAGAAGGCGCCAAGUCACCCAGGGCCGGAAGUAGCACUGCCCAGGGGGCUGACAAACUAGUCCUUGCAGGAGGAGAGCAGCUCUGGCCCAGGAGAGGAGCCCUGUUCCUGGAGGGGCGGGACCCGCGUUGGUGGUCGCCUGGGUCCUGGCCCGUCACUGGUGAGAUGGAUGCGUUGACGCCAAACACCUACGAAGUGAUGGCAUCCAAGGAUGACAUAAGCCGCAGUUUGUCAUCACCGGAGUUUAGUAUCCUCCAGGAGAAACGUGAGCAAAUGGGAGUCCCACAUGUGUGCAGGUGGAGCCUGUGGAGGCCAGAGGAGGGCCUCAGAUCCCUUGGAGCUGGAGUUACAAGUGGUUGUGAGCCACACAAUAUGGAUGCUGGGAACUGAACUCUGCAAGAGCUGUAGGUGCUUUUAACCAGUGACCCAUUCAUCCCUUCUAGAUUGACCAUGAAGUGGUGUGUUUUGUUCAUUUUGUAACAAAAUGUGUCCCAAACGGGGUGGGGGUGGGGAGAAAGAAAGAAAAUGUGGGGCAUUUUCUUCACCAGAUAAAUAUAGGUAAUGAUUUUCUGAUUAGAAAUGCAGCAGAAAAGUGAAUAGACCCAGAAUCAGCAAAUGGGACAGCAAAGGAAACUCAUACAGUGAUGAAGCAGCCCACAGAGUGGGAGAGAAACUUCAGCAGCAAUGCUUUUCAGAGAUCAUUGAUGAGAAUAUUCAAAGAAUUCAGUCAACACCAGCAAGAAAACAUGUAACUGUCUACAGAUCUAAACAGGAGGUUCUCAAAAGAAGAAAUAGAAAUGUUGGGGUAACACUUUAGACACUGUUCUCGUCCUUACCCACAAGGAGAAUGCAGAUUUAUGAUUCCGUCUCCCCCAACUCAGUAUGGCUGCCAUCAAGAAAGAAUACCAAUAACAAAAAAUUCUGCUGUGAAUGUGGAGAAAUGGGAACUAUUUCCUAGCUAUUAUGAACAGAGUAGCAAAGAACAUAGAUGUUCAGGUGUCCAUUUGGAGGAGGGCAGAGUCUUUUGGAAUAUGCUUGGAGUGAUUUAGCUGGGUAGUAUUUGUUUUAAAGUUUGGGGGACUUCAUAUACUACAUUUAAUCAUAUUUAGACCUCCCCUAUCUGCAUAGCCCUCCCACAGGAUUUCAUGCAUUGUCUUACAUAUUAAAGCCUAUCAAGUCAAGUUUGUGUACCCAUCUGUCUUGGUGUAAGUACAUCCACUGGAGUGUGUUUAGCCUACCUUGCAACAUUCCCACUGUCCCUUAGAGAAGAUCAACUCUUACUCACCUAGCUGUGAUCAACUGCCAAUAAUUCCUUAGCUAAAGUGGAAGCCUCCUGUCCAUUGAAUGGGAACUACUGUACACUGCUGGUGAAUGUAUGCACUAAUGCAACCACUUUUGAAAUCACUCUGGCAGUUUCUAUAAAAAAAAAAAAAACCCAAAAAACCUACAAAUAAAA